UACGGGGGGGGCAAGCGUUGUUCGGAAUUACUGGGCGUAAAGGGCUCGUAGAUGGCCAACUAAGUCAGACGUGAAAUCCCUCGGCUUAACCGGGGAACUGCGUCUGAUACUGGAUGGCUUGAGUGUGGGAGAGGGAUGCGGAAUUCCAGGUGUAGCGGUGAAAUGCGUAGAUAUCUGGAGGAACACCGGUGGCGAAGGCGGCAUCCUGGACCAUUACUGACACUGAAUAGCGAAAGCCAGGGGAGCAAACGGG
rnacentral:rRNA from 1 species